rnacentral:rRNA from 1 species
UACGUAGGGGGCUAGCGUUGUCCGGAUUUACUGGGCGUAAAGGGAGCGUAGGCGGACUUUUAAGUGAGAUGUGAAAUACUCGGGCUCAACUUGAGUGCUGCAUUUCAAACUGGAAGUCUAGAGUGCAGGAGAGGAGAAUGGAAUUCCUAGUGUAGCGGUGAAAUGCGUAGAGAUUAGGAAGAACACCAGUGGCGAAGGCGAUUCUCUGGACUGUAACUGACGCUGAGGCUCGAAAGCGUGGGGAGCAAACAGG